UACAGAGGGUGCAAACGUUGCUCGGAAUCAUUGGGCGUAAAGCGCACGUAGGCGGCCCAGCAAGCGGGGAGUGAAAGCCCUCGGCUUAACCGAGGAAGUGCUUUCCGAACUACUGGGCUUGAAUACUGGAGAGGGUCGCGGAAUUCCCGGUGUAGAGGUGAAAUUCGUAGAUAUCGGGAGGAACACCAGUGGCGAAGGCGGCGAGCCCUGGACAGAUAUUGACGCUGAGGUGACGAAAGCGUGGGGAGCAAACAGGA
rnacentral:rRNA from 1 species